rnacentral:rRNA from 1 species
AACGAACGCUGGCGGCAGGCUUAACACAUGCAAGUCGAACGCCCCGCAAGGGGAGUGGCAGACGGGUGAGUAACGCGUGGGAAUCUACCUAGUUCUACGGAACAACUGAGGGAAACUUCAGCUAAUACCGUAUAAGCCCUAUGGGGGAAAGAUUUAUCGGAAUUAGAUGAGCCCGCGUAAGAUUAGCUGGUUGGUGAGGUAAUGGCUCACCAAGGCGACGAUCUUUAGCUGGUCUGAGAGGAUGAUCAGCCACACUGGGACUGAGACACGGCCCAGACUCCUACGGGAGGCAGCAGUGGGGAAUAUUGGACAAUGGGCGCAAGCCUGAUCCAGCCAUGCCGCGUGAGUGAUGAAGGCCUUAGGGUUGUAAAGCUCUUUCAGUAGGGAAGAUAAUGACGGUACCUACAGAAGAAGCCCCGGCUAACUUCGUGCCAGCCGCCGCCGUAACAC